ACUAACUUAUUAUUGUGUAGUUUCAUAAAAGCCUUACUCUUUUCAGUCACAUAACUUUUGUUCAUCUGCUAAUAAUAGGACUAUCCAUACACAAAGAUGUAUUGUGGAUUUAAGUAAUAUCUGCGAAUAUUUAUGUGAAAAUGUAUUAGUGUUCUGCUGACAUGAGAUCUGAAAAUGUGUUCUAGGACCUGAUAUGGAUUAAUCCAAUGAUCAACGUUUUCCUUUGUAUCCCUGUUUUGUAUACGCUGCCAUUACAUGAUGGUCAUAUGUCCCGGAUGAUAGGGAGAAGUCACGUGGUUCAAUUAUUAUUAUUUUUUUACGUGGUUCAAUUAUCUGUUAAUAAAUUUUUUUUACCAUGCAUUUAGCAUCAGGCAAAGCCUGCAAUCAAUCUAUUAAGACAGAAACAAUAUCUUACUUAUUAUUAUGUUGUUAUUAUGACAAUAUCAUGUGAUCAUCUGAGUUAGAACAAAAUCUAUUCAUUUUCAGGUAUAACUGUGCAAGUGCCCUGAAUCAUUCUGUUGAAAUGUUAUGUGUUUAAGAUUCUUUAUGACAUCAAGAUGUGGUUUGGGAAGGACCUUCAUCUAAAUCUGAAGACAGGACAUACUGGCUCAAAAAGGUGUUUCUGAUAUGGAGAAAAACCCUGCACUGCUCAUUUUAUUUCUUCAUCUUGAGAAUACAGCAAGUUUACCUUUUGUCUGGAAAAUGAUUCAGCAAAGCUAACACCAACAACAAUUUUUCAAUGCACUUUAAACCACCUUGAUGUGAGGAGCCAGCAUCAGAAUGGAUGGUGUCAAUAUCCUGAAAGUGGAGGUAACAGAGGUGGAUCUCGAGACUUGGCCAUGUUCUAGAUUAUAACUGGAUUAUCACAAGUGCUGUCGCCCCUGCUGUAUAUGACGCCCCCACCACCUACACCAGGUGUAGGAAAUGUCGGUCCUGGAGUGCCGUUGUCCUGCAGAGUUUUGCUCCAGCUCUAAACAAACACACCUGAACAACUAGAUCUGAAGAGUCACCAGAAAACUACAGGUAGGCGAGGUUUUAUCAGGGUUGGAAAUGAAAUCUGCAGGAUUUCGGCACUCCAGGACCGACGUUGCCUACUACUGACCUACACCUUCAUCCUGCCACCACCACCCAUACUACCUACAAAAAACUGUAUUGUAAUUAUGCUUUUCACUGUAUUGUAUGAUGUGGUUUUCUCAUUUAGGGUAACUACACUAUGGCAACAAUUGGAUACAUUGAUUGCUGACUGAUUUUGUUAUUUUUUCUUUACUUUUUGUUUAAAAUCUAAUCAUUUUUUUGUUAUUUUUGUUAAUAUUGUUACAAAUAUACAGUUAAAACUGCACAAUAAAUUUUCUGCUUUUAAA